rnacentral:rRNA from 1 species
UGCGUAGGCGGGCUAAUAAGUCAGUGGUGAAAUCUUUCGGCUCAACCGGGAAACUGCCAUUGAUACUGUUAGUCUUGAGUUCGGUUGAGGUAGGCGGAAUGUGUAAUGUAGCGGUGAAAUGCUUAGAUAUUACACAGAACACCAAUUGCGUAGGCAGCUUACUAGACCGACACUGACGCUGAGGCACGAAAGCGUGGGGAGCAAACAGGAUUAGAUACCCUGGUAGUC